UGGGCAGCUGUGGGUACAGGCGGGGAUAGCGGGACAUGAGGUUAGUGGGAUUGGGGACAAUGGGACAUGGGGACACACAGUCAGUGGGACAUGGGGACAAUGGGACAUGGGGACAAUGGGACAGGGGGACAGUGGGACAUGGGGACAAUGGGACACACGGGGUCAGUACAGCCCCUGCUCGCGCUCGCCCGGCUCCUCCGGCCACGGCGCCGACACCGCGGCGCCGGAACCGGGACCGGCAACGCCGCCAACGCUGCGCUUCCGGCCCGCCAUGGGCAGCUGUGGGUACAGGUGGGGACAGCGGGACAGGCGGUCAGUGGGGCGUGGGACAAUCCAUGGGGUUUUCCAAUGGGAUCCCGACCCCAAUCCCAGGGAUUUUCUAUCAGGAUCCUGACCCCAAUCCCAGGGGUUUUCCAAUGGGAUCCAUUCAGGAUCCUGACCCAAGUCUUUGNNNNNNNNNNGGGUUUUCCAGUGGGAUCCCGACCCAAAUCCCAGGGUUUUUCCAAUGGGAUCCUGACCACAAUCCCUGGGAUUUUCCAGCAGGAUCCCAACCUCAUUCUCUGCAUUUUUCCAUUGGGAUCCCAGCCCCAGUGCCAGGGGUUUUCCAUUGGAAUCCACUCAGGAUCCUGACCCCAAUCCCAGGGGUUUUCCAAUGGGAUCCAUUCAGGAUUCCGACCCAAAUCUUUGGGUUUUCCAGUGGGAUCCCAACCCCAAUCCCAGGGAUUUUCCAGCAGGAUCCCAACCCCAAUCCCAGGGGUUUUCCAAUGGGAUCCAUUCAGGAUCCCGACCCAAAUCAUUGGGAUUUUCCAGAAGGAUCUCAACCCCAAAUCACUGGGAUUUUCCAGUGGAUCCCAACCACAAUCUUUGGGAUUUUCCAGUUGGAUCCUGACCCCAAUCCCAGGGAUUUUCCAGCAAAAUCCCAAUUUCAUUCUUUGCAUUUUUCCAUUGGGAUCCCAAAC
rnacentral:lncRNA from 1 species